CCAAUAGCGUAUAUUAAAGUUGUUGCAGUUAAAAAGCUCGUAGUUGAAUUUCGGGAUUAGUACGUUGGUCGUGCCUUCGGUACGUACUGGUGUUACUGGUUCCUACCUUCUGACGAACCAUCAUGUCAUUAAUUUGGUGUGGCGGGGAAUCAGGACUGUUACUUUGAAAAAAUUAGAGUGUUUAAAGCAGGCUAACGCUUGAAUACAUUAGCAUGGAAUAAUGAAAUAGGACGUUCGAUCCUAUUUUGUUGGUUUCUAGGAUUGACGUAAUGAUUAAUAGGGAUAGUUGGGGGCAUUAGUAUUCAAUUGUCAGAGGUGAAAUUCUUGGAUUUAUUGAAGACUAACUACUGCGAAAGCAUUUGCCAAGGAUGUUUUCAUUAAUCAAGAACGAAAGUUAGGGGAUCGAAGACGAUCAGAUACCGUCGUAGUCUUAACCAUAAACUAUGCCGACUAGGGAUCGGAUGAUGUUAAUUUUUUAAUGACUCAUUCGGCGCCUUACG
rnacentral:rRNA from 1 species